AAAUAUACUAAACAUACUGAACUGCACACUUUAAAUGGGAGAGUUUUAUGGGCUCGCAGUCAAAAUGAACAUUUGCUCAGUGGAUUCAUGACUAGCCUGUUUCAUCAGACGCCAUAUAUGCUGAGGUUAACCAAACUCGUGAGCAAGCAUAUACUUCAAACAAGAUGAGCAAACGACACACACAGCCAGCCACACCCGUGCACUCCUGAUUCAUGGAACCAAGAGGACAAGAAGCUGCCUCUCUGCUGCCAUAAUGUUUACCAAACUCCGUGCUGAGAUUUUCAUUGACAACCACAAGCAUGCUGAAGCUCACUUUCCUGGAGAACUGUCAUAAUAAAAAGACAUUAACAUCUUAGUAUUUGGGCAAAAUGUUUAACACUCAAACAUUUGUAUUUUUCCUUCAGUUUUCAAAACAACUUUAAAUCUCUCUUUUCAAAACAGUGUUAAAUGAUGUCACUCAU
rnacentral:lncRNA from 1 species